GACGAACGCUGGCGGCGUGCUUAACACAUGCAAGUCGAACGGAAAGGCCCUGCUUUUGUGGGGUGCUCGAGUGGCGAACGGGUGAGUAACACGUGAGUAACCUGCCCUUGACUUUGGGAUAACUUCAGGAAACUGGGGCUAAUACCGGAUAGGAGCUCCUGCUGCAUGGUGGGGGUUGGAAAGUUUCGGCGGUUGGGGAUGGACUCGCGGCUUAUCAGCUUGUUGGUGGGGUAGUGGCUUACCAAGGCUUUGACGGGUAGCCGGCCUGAGAGGGUGACCGGCCACAAUGGGACUGAGAUACGGCCCAGACUCCUACGGGAGGCAACAGGGGGGAAUAUUGCACAAUGGGCGGAAGCCUGAUGCAGCAACGCCGGGUGCGGGAUGACGGCCUUUGGGUUGUAAACCGCUUUCGCCUGUGACGAAGCGUGAGUGACGGUAAUGGGUAAAGAAGCACCGGCUAACUACGUG
rnacentral:rRNA from 1 species